rnacentral:rRNA from 1 species
GACAGAGGGUGCAACCGUUGUUCGGAAUUACUGGGCAUAAAGAGCACGUAGGUGGUCUGCUAAGUCGUGUGUGAAAUCCCCCGGCUCAACCGGGGAAUUGCGCUCGAUACUGGCAGGCUCGAGGUGGGUAGGGGUGAGCGGAACUCCAGGUGGAGCGGUGAAAUGCGUAGAUAUCUGGAGGAACACCGGUGGCGAAAGCGGCUCACUGGACCCAAUCUGACACUGAGGCACGAAGGCCAGGGGAGCAAACGGG